GGAGCUCCUCCUGACCACACCCAUGGCGGGGCCAGCAGCGCGCUCCGCAGCGCGCGGGGAGGGCGGGGCGCGGGUCUGGAGCGCGCAGGUAGCGCCGCGAGAGGCGAUGGAGAAACUGAGGCACAGAGCUGAGUGAAUUGGAGCCAGACAGACGCAGGACAGAGGCCACCAGGAUGUCCUAUUUUGGGGAACAUUUUUGGGGCGACAAAAACCAUGGCUUUGAGGUCCUCUACCAUUGUGUGAAGCAGGGUCCUGUGGCCACCAAGGAGCUGGCUGACUUCAUUAGGGAAAGGGCCAACAUCGAGGAGACAUACUCGAAGGCCAUGGCCAAACUCUCCAAGCUAGCCAGCAACGGGACCCCCAUGGGGACCUUUGCCCCGCUCUGGGAGGUCUUCCGUGUGUCCUCGGACAAACUGGCACUGUGCCACCUGGAGCUUACUCGGAAGCUGCACGAUCUCCUUAAGGAUGUGCUGCGCUACGGCGAGGAGCAGCUCAAGACCCACAAGAAGUGUAAGGAGGAAGUUCUAGGCACUGUGGAUGCAGUGCAGAUGUUGUCAGGCGUCGGGCAGCUCCUGCCAAAGUCUCGCGAGAAUUACUUGAGCCGCUGUAUGGACCUGGAGAGGCUGCGUAGAGAGAACACCAGCCAGAAGGAGAUGGACAAGGCAGAAACCAAAAGCAAGAAGGCUGCCGACAGCCUGCGGCGCUCUGUGGAUAAAUACAACUCAGCCCGAGCCGACUUUGAGAUCAAGAUGCUUGAUUCAGCCCUGCGUUUUCAGGCCAUGGAGGAGGCACAUCUGCAGCACAUGAAGGCCUUGCUGGGCUCCUAUGCGCACUCUGUGGAGGACACCCAUGUGCAAAUUGGGCAGGUGCAUGAGGAAUUUAAGCAGAAUGUGGAAAAUGUGACGGUGGACAUGCUCCUCAGGAAAUUUGCAGAGAGCAAGGGCACCGGGCGCGAGAAGCCUGGGCCUCUGGACUUCGAUGCAUACAGCUCAGCUGCCCUGCAGGAAGCAAUGAAACGUCUCCGUGGAGCCAAGGCUUUCCGCCUUCCAGGAUUGAGCCGUCGGGAGCCACGUGCAUCUGUUGAUUUCCUGGAGUCUGACUCAGGGGUGCCUCCAGAGGUAGAUGACGAAGGCUUCACUGUGCGCCCCGAUAUAUCUCAGAACAAUGGGGCUGAGCCCCCACGCUUCUCCUCUAGUGACUCUGAUUUUGACGAUGAGGAGCCUAGAAAGUUCUAUGUUCACAUCAAGCCCGCCCCCACCCGCGCCGUGGCCUGCAGCUCUGAGGCUGCAGCUGCCCAGCUCAGGGCCACGGCUGGCAGCCUCAUCCUCCCUCCAGGCCCAGGGGGCACCAUGAAACGUCAUUCAUCACGGGACACUUCUGGGAAGCCACAGAGACCUCGUUCGGCCCCACGCACUGGCAGUUGCGCAGAGAAGCCCCUGGCCUCGGAGGAGCCACUAUCCAAGAGCCUCUUUGGGCCGCCGCUGGAGUCCGCCUUCGACCACGAUGACUUCACAGGCUCCAGCAGCCUGGGCUUCACAUCCAGCCCGUCUCCUUUCUCAUCCUCAUCUCCGGAGAAUGUGGAGGACUCGGGCCUGGAUUCUCCGUCACAUGCUGCCCCUGGUCCGUCACCUGAGUCCUGGGUCCCCCGGCCAGGCACCCCGCAGAGCCCACCCACCUGCAGGGCACAGCACCCUGAGCCCAGGGGCCUAAUGCCCCGUGCACCCUCACCAGGUCCCUGGGGGCCUGAGGGAGGUGCAGAUUCACUGACGCCGGCUGACCCCACCAGGGAGGGCCUAGCUGCCACACUGAGAAGACCACGGUCCAGGAAAGUGUCCUGCCCACUCACCAGGAGCAAUGGGGACCUGGUGGGUGAUAGGCUGAUGACUCCAGGUUGGGAAGAGGCCAGAAGCUGCCCCUGCAGACAGCUUUGGGCAUCUCCCGUGGCCCCAGCCCAGUGGUCCUGGGAUCUCAGGACGCCCUGCCCGUGGCCACAGCCUUCACUGAGUAUGUCCAUGCCUAUUUCCGUGGCCACAGCCCCAGUUGCCUGGCUCGAGUCACCGGGGAGUUAACCAUGACCUUCCCUGCGGGCAUUGUGCGUGUGUUCAGUGGCACCCCACCACCACCUGUCCUCAGCUUCCGGCUGGUGAACACGGCCCCUGUAGAACACUUCCAGCCCAACGCUGACCUGAUCUUCAGUGACCCCUCCCAGAGUGACCCGGAGACCAAAGACUUCUGGCUGAAUAUGGCGGCGCUGACGGAGGCCCUACAGCACCAGGCUGAGCAGAACCCCACCGCCUCCUACUACAACCUGGUGCUAUUGCGGUACCAGUUCUCCCGCCCUGGACCUGAGUCAGUGCCCCUGCAAAUGAGCGCCCACUGGCAGUGCGGGCCCACACUCACGCGGGUCUCGGUGGAGUACAGCUACCGUGCGGGCGCCACUGCUGUGUCCACGCCACUCACUAAUGUCCAGAUCCUCCUGCCCGUGGGGGAGCCGGUGACCAGUGUGCGGCUGCAGCCUGCGGCCACCUGGAACACAGAGGAAAAGAGGUUCACGUGGAAGCUUCCAGAUGUGUGUGAGGCAGGGGGUGAGUCACAGCUCUGAUGAGGGCUGCUGCGUGGGAGAAAUCGCGGGUGGGCAGAUUGUUAAAACUGGACAUAGUUCGUGGGAACUGACGAAUUCUAGAGGAGGGUUCUCAGGAUACAGGACCACCUGUAUCCUGAGCCUGUGACAAAGAGCCUGUGACAGGAGCACAUCCUGGACCCGUGGUCUAGGCAAGGGGUAUGCGAGGUCUGAUUUAGUCGAGGCUGACCCCUCACCCCGUAGGCUCAGGCCACCUGUCAGCCAGUUGGCAGCCGCAGUCGGGGCCCAGCACUCCCAGCCCCGUGGCCGCACAAUUCACCAGUGAGGGCGCCACGCUGUCUGGCCUGGACCUGGAGCUGCUAGGUGGUGGCUACCGCAUGUCCCUGGUGAAGCGGAGAUUCGCUACAGGGAUGUACCUCGUCAGCUGCUGAGGUUCCUAGUGCUGGGGACUGCCUGCUCUCCUGCCUCUGCCGGCUCCCCCAGGCUGGACUCCGUGGACAGGAACACCCAUUUCAGCCUGGCUCAGCCAACUCCUCCGUCCACAAGCAGGCCCUGGCCUUUAGUAUUCUUUAAAUAAACAGUUUUCUAACAAAAUAAAGAGGAAUCCUCUUUCCGGUUCAGACCGGGAAGGAUGGGGAGGGGGGAAGGAGGAGCUGAUACCUACUGUGCGGUUCAUCUCCAGGGCUGUGUGAGCUGCCUAUUCCUGCUGACACACAGCUAGGCUACAGGGAGGGAGAAGUAGAUGAACCCCUAGAACACUGCUUCUCCACCCUCCUAAUGCUGAGACCCUUUAAUAUACUUACUCAUGUUGUGGUGACCCCCCAACCAUAAAAUUAUUUCAUUUCUA